rnacentral:rRNA from 1 species
AUGCAAGGAUAUACUAAAACUAUCACACCAAAGGCGAGGAUCCUUGAUCUCCACCAUAGCGAUGAAGCCAGUGUCGGAGUCGCCGUCUUCGCCAAGGAUAGUCACAAUGACGGAAAGGUCCAGGUCUGCGCGGUUGGGGCGUCAAUCACGUGUUCAACGGCAUGUCAGAGCAACUCUCUGGCCAGAGCCCUGACUAUGUGCGCUUCAGAGUCUGGCCACAGCGCCUGUUCACAUAAAUCAUCAUAUUGGCAGCCUGGAAUAUUUGGAAACAAAGAAAUAGAUGCUACUUUGAGGGUACGAAGCCUUCUGUUCAGGACUGGCUCAGGAUGUUCAAAGGUGGGUGUGGAUGGAGAAUGUUGGAAGACAUUAAAAGGUAGGAUGAUGGGAAUGCCUAUGGCAAUUUGGCAAACUUGGAGAAAACAGAUGCAAUUUUGA